GCGAAAAACAGGUCUGGUAUAUUUAUAGGCCUACAAGUGGCGUAGGCAAAGCCAAUUAAGCCACAAAAACAGCUCUGGUGAUAUAAGUGGAUAAUGAAUUGCAAACGUGUACACUGGACAACCAAAGAGAAUACGUUCAAUGUGACGUACGUUAUGCGAUUGCGCUGUGUAAGACUUCCGUAUCCGACUAUAGCCUAAUUAAAUAGCUAUCACAAUUAGUAACUGCUAGCUAGCUAAGCACCUAUAACGUGUCAUAUACGUAAGGUUAAGAAGACAUGGAUAAAAGAUGCUGGUUGCCGGUUUGUGUGAUCUUGUUGAUGGAACUCCAAGUCUCUUCACAGGAGAGAGUUGAAGGUUUUACAAGAGGGGAGGUUAUUUUACCAUGUAGGUACAAUGCAAUGCCUACUGAAGAGGUCACCAUAUUUUGGCGAUAUAAGGAUGACCGUAAUGUCUACAAUAUUGUCAGUGGAAAAGCAGACAUGACAGACCAAGACCGUCAGUUCAGAAACAGAAUCAGGAUUUUCCCUGAGGAAUGGGCAAACGGCGACUUCUCUCUCCUACUGACUGAUCUCAAGGACUCUGAUAGUGGGAGUUAUUCAUGUUUCAUACCAACAAAGGACAUUCAUCAUCAAGUGGAACUUUCUGUUCAAGAGAAACCAACUCCUGAGCCUAAAGUUGGUCCAAAGAGCAGCAGCGUGAGCAUCAAAGGACAGAACCUCAGCCCCUUCCUGUUUCUCCUCCUCAGUCCAGCUCUCCAUUUCCUUUGAUGUACAUCACAGAAAUUGGUCAUUGUACUGCUUAUGAGACUGUUGACAAGUUCUGAGUGGUUAAACUGCUGAAAUACUUAUUUUUUUCUUUAAUGUAUGUAAUAAGUGACUGCAAAUAUAUAUCGUGCUUGAACCACCUUCCUAGAGGUGAGUAAAAAAAGUUAGUGUUUACUGAUAGGACAGCUGCAACACCUAAGGGGGAUCCUAGUAAAAUACCAAACAUUUUAGCUUUGCUUUUGUGAACUAUAUUUAAUGCACUUAUAAUACAGUAUUUGUUGCUGAUUAAAUGCAUGGUGUUUUUUAAAAACCAGGGCCAUCUGUAAAAUCAAAUUUGAACUAGGAUUGAAAUAGGAUUGAGUCAAUGUGCCCCUCCUGUCAACAAGAUGCAGCUUUACUUACUAAGAUAUUGAAGUAUUUCCAGAUCCGUUAUUAAUAUUGUACUACCGAAUGACAUACGUUUUGUUGAUAUCUUGAGAUUGAACAUGUGCUCCACAGUAAAAGCUUAUUAGUUCAGUCAACCUUUCAAUUAGAAAGUAUUUUACUUUGACACAGUGUUAUUAAAGGAAACAUAUUCACUUCCUCAAUGCUCUUUAUUAAAGAGUGUUUAUUUUAGCUUUUUGUAAACUAUGGUUUGAUCAUGUGGUUGCACUGUGUGUUCAGUCAGAUGUCUGUUAGAAGGAGGAAGUCAGUUCAGUCUCAAAGAUUUAUCACAGCUCUGAGGAUGUUGAGGAUUCUUGCCAGUCUGUUCUGUAAUGUUCUGACCAUUUAUUUUUAUGCUAUUUAUUUUACAUUCAUUUUACAAUAAAUGAAGUGGCUCAUGGA